CGCCGCCGCAGCCGCCGCCGCCCCUAGGAGCCGCGGGGACCCUCGUGUCGUCGCCGCCGCCACCCAGAUCCCCGCACCAUGCCAUCGGAGAAGACCUUCAAGCAGCGCCGCACCUUCGAACAAAGAGUAGAAGAUGUCUGACUUAUUCGAGAGCAGCAUCCAACCAAAAUCCCGGUGAUAAUAGAACGAUACAAGGGUGAGAAGCAGCUUCCUGUCCUGGAUAAAACAAAGUUCCUUGUACCUGACCAUGUCAACAUGAGUGAGCUCAUCAAGAUAAUUAGAAGGCGCUUACAGCUCAAUGCUAAUCAAGCCUUCUUCCUGUUGGUGAACGGCCACAGCAUGGUCAGCGUCUCCACACCAAUCUCAGAGGUGUACGAGAGUGAGAAGGAUGAAGAUGGAUUCCUGUACAUGGUCUAUGCCUCCCAGGAGAUGUUCGGGAUGAAAUUGUCAGUGUAAAACUAGAAAAAUACAUCUAUUCUAGAAUUUUUUAAACCCUUACCAAGGAAAAAAAAGGGAUGUUACCAACUGAGAUGGAUCAGUUCAUCUAAUCACAGAUCAUCCAACAGUAGUGUUCCCACCUAGGAGUGUUAGGAAGUUGUGUUUGUGUUUCAAGCAGAAAACUGAGCUCCAAGUGAGGACGUUCAGCUUUGGAAACUAUAUUAUUUAAUGUAGGCUAGCUUGUUUUCAGAUUUUAAAAAUUAAAAAAUGAAAUACUUUGCAUUCUAAGUUGCCAAUAAAAUACACCUUCAAGUUAUUUUAAUGCUCUUUUCUCACUAAUAGGAACUUGCAAUUCCAGGAGUAAUUUAAAGGCUUUCAGAGAGACCCUGAGUCUUCUCUUCAGGUUCACAGAACCCACCGCCUUUUCGGGUAGAAGUUUUCUACUCAGCUAAAGAGAUCUCCCUAAGAGGAUCUUUAGGCCUGAGUUGUGAAGCAUUUGCAUUUGCCAUCAGAGUUGGCACAAAUGCAGGGUAAAUGAGGUGUGUGUAAGAAAACGGCCCUGACUGUAAACUGCUGAAGGUCCCCAGCUCCUAACAGAACCACACCCAAAGUCCACACUCUUGCAGAGGUAGACAUUUCUGGUUUGUUCUGUAGAUAGUUACACACAUAAAGACACCACUCAAAAGGAAACUUGAAUAAUUUAUAAUUGUAAUCUAGUUUCUUAAAAGAUCCUGGAGAAAGAGUGGCAUUUCUUCUGUUUCAGGUUUUGAGUUCAAACUGGUGCCUGUGUUGUUACAGAAAGCAGCAGAGUACCAGUGUCAUUCUGGAAGACAGCGGUAGAAACCACAAAGUGGUAUAACUGAAAGCAUUAACAUUCAGACACACUCGCUUCCGCCUUCUGGCUUAAAGCUAUGGAUGAUUCACGUUGUUUUUUAAUGUUAAAUGUAUAACUCAGUAUUACUGAAAAGGUUCCCACAUUUUGAAUAGUAGUUGUCACUGUUAGGUCAGCCAGCCAUCAGAAUUCUCCCACACUAAGUGCAUGUCAGUUGUGGAGAAAACAUAGCAAAAAGAACCAUAUCUCUUUACAGAUACUAAUGUCAAGAGUUAAACCUUCUCAGGUUCAACCUGUGAUAAAAGACCAGUGCUUCCCACUACCUGCAUGGGGUUCGCUAUUUAUAAUUUUCUUGGGAAUAUCACAGGAAAAUCACAAUUACAUUACUUUAGACCCUAUGUGUAGCAGGUCACAACUUACCCUUGUGUGUUUAGAUGUGUAUGGAAUACCUGUAUACAUUAGUGAAAGCUGUUUACUGUAACGAGGAAAACGAGAUUCCUUGCAUCUGGGUCCUCUACUGAUCGUUAAAGGAGUUCCUGUCACCUGCUCUCCCCCAAGUGCAUGCGUCUGUCCACCUGGCUAAAUUUUAAUAUGUAUAUUUUUACAUUAUGUAAAUUCUUAACUGGCCUGUCUCGUUUAGACUGUAUACAUCAUAUCUGACAUUAUUGUAACUACUGUGUGAUCAGUAAGAUUCCUAUAAGAAAUACUGCUUUUUUAAAAAA